rnacentral:misc_RNA from 1 species
UUAAGUUCAGCGGGUAUUCCUACCUGAUCCGAGGUCAACCUUGAAGAAGUGGGGUGUUUUACGGCGUGGCCGCACCGCUAUCCGGCUGCGAGGUACCGCUACUGCGCAGGGGAGCUCGCGGUGGAGCCGCCACUAUAAUUCGGGGCGCCCGCGCGGGGCGGGCCGAUCCCCAACGCCAGGUCCCCCGAAGGGGUCCUGAG